UUAAGUGAGUCAGAAUUUCUAGAGCUCAAGAGAGAGCGGGAGGAAUUAGAAACAGAAGUGCAUUCAUCGGGUUUGAGAUGAUAACAGGGGGCCUGGCUGACUACUCUGAACCCCGUGAACCUAAUAAAUAUCAUUUAAAUUAAUGCCCUAAGAAGCGUUUUUGCUCCAGUUCCUUUUCAACCAGAUAUAACUCGGGAAUGGAUAAGUGUGAGAGAAUCGAGGUCAGCAUUUAUUUAAAGGAAUGCGGAAGGGAGGAACAAGAGAGAGGCUGACUAAAACCAGAGACUUCAAAGAAAUGAAGGUUUGAUGGUUGAGAACAACAUGACCAAAGACUCUGUAAAGGCCACAGAUUUCCUUGUUGAAAAAAUUGUAGGAGAUGAAUUUGAAUAAGAAGAAGCAAAGUUAGCUGAUAACAUUGGAUAGAAGAGAGGGGAGCGUGUGGGAGUAGGCUGACUGUGAGCUCCUUCCAGACUGGGCUCUGCCAAUUGACGUCAGCCUGCCACGAGCCUCCCCCAGAUUCUGCAGACCAGCUGGGCCGGCCAACUGUGCAGGCUGUGGAAUUGGUGUUAAAAUAUUUGGAUAUGGCCAUGAGAAGUGAAUAGACUCUUAGAAUCACAGACUGUUUUCUGUGCUAGCAGAAGCCUUGGAGAUUAAACUCCUAUGAGAAAGGAUAGUCUCCUGAAUUAAUUUUUCUCAUUUAUAUAAGCCAGAAGAAUUUAUAAUUUUAAAUCAGAUUUGAAUUUAGUAAUCAGAUAAAUGAGUUAACCGCUUUUGAAAAUAAAUUAUUUUGUAAGUUCAUAUUUUAGGGCUCAAGAAUAUGACAGUAUAUAAAGGAGAAUCAGGAGAGUUUUAAAAUUGGGAAUAACAUUUGGAGAAAGGGGAGCUCGAAGCGUGGCCACCUAGACUCCAAGUCAGUUAUUGAUGGAUCUGGCCAGUAGUUAUUGGGCACUUUCUGUGGGCCGCGCCAUGUCUUAGGCACUAGAACAAACUCAGUGUCACAAAAGUAAACAAGUAGAACUCUUUGCACUCAUGCGACUGACAGCCUAGUAGAGGAGACAGAAAAUAAGAAAAUAGGCAUAAAUAAGUAAAUUAUUUAGUCUAAGAUGGGAGCAGUGUUUUUAAAGAGCAGAGUAAGAGUAUUUGAAAGAGAUGUUGGGGGCUGGGAGACAGGUGGCAAUUUGAACAGAAUGAUACAGAAUGUCGGUCUUUUUGGGAGAUUGCUAUUUGGGCAACGACUUGAAGAAGGUGAAGGACUGAGAUGAGCAGACAUUUGAAGGAAGAGCUCUCCAGUAGGGGAGCAGCUGCUGCAAAUGCCCCAGGGCUGAACCACACUCAGGGGGUUCAACAGUGAAGCUCGGUGUUGCUGUAGCAGGGAACCAGGGCAGAAAAGCUGGAGACAGGAUGAGGGAGGAAACCCAUCAGGACCUAAGGCCAUUGUAAAGCCUUAGCCUUUACUCAGAAUAAAAUGGAGAACAACUAGAGAGUUUUAAGCAGAGGAGCCAAAGUGAGGUGAUCCAAUUUACGUUUUGAAGGACCUGGAGACUGGCAGACAGCAGCAGAGAAGAGGAAGAAGAUCCAGACUCUGAAUAAAUUGCAUCUCAAAGGUGGCAGCCGGACAAAGAAGGAAUGUGAAAUGUGAGAGAAAAAGAUGAGGUAAACAUAACCUGAUGUUUUUGGCCAAAGCCACUAGAGAGAUGUUUCCUUCAGCAGAGAUGGGGGUUAAAGGAUUAUUCUGUCACUUAUUGUGUGCUAAGCCCCGGGCCAGGGGCUAACUCCCUAAGCAUGAGCCAGGCCAGUAUUUUUUCAUCUCUAGGUCAUGACCAAUUUAAUUUUUACAAGUUAGGGAUUCUUGACUAGAAUUUUAAAAAAUCAAAUGGAAUAAUGUUAUGGACACUUUGGUUCUGCACCAAGACACCUGAAAUGCUGCUGGCUCAGGGCUGCGCAUUUCACUGGGUACCGUCUGUGGCCACAGUGAACCCGCUGUCUGGAGAAGGAGGAGCACAGCCAGUGCCUGGCUGAUGUGGGUACUGGGUCUAACCUCUUGAGUUCAGCUUGAAACGAGGCAAAUAUCAAGGGCCAAAUCCUAGUGAAAUCAUGAUGACAUGCCGAGCUUGCCAAGACAAUAGAGGCAAUGUGUUGAUGAAGAGGAGCAACAGGAUCUAGAAAAUCUCUUCUGUUAUGGCCUGUGGCCUGUGAAAACCAGGGAAGGGUCUGCUAGGUCAAACGUGUCUCCCCAGGUCACAUUGCCAUAUGAUGCUGUGCAGAGUAGCAGGUGAGGUCUUUGAGUGAGGUGAGGGUUAUCUCACACAACAAGGGGCACAAGAGGUUAUGAAAUAUCUUUCAUAACCAGAUAGAUAGUCACAUGGCUUACAUUUUUUCAGGGGACGAUGCACCAUAAAUCCAUAAAUUCUAGGUUUGUUU